GAUGGUGAUUAAGCAUGCCUACUGUAAUGGUCAUAGUCCGCAUACGGACUAAUCCUGUC
rfam:Prochlorococcus marinus MIT9313 complete genome